GAUGAACGCUGGCGGCGUGCUUAAUACAUGCAAGUCGAACGAAGCACCUUGGACAGAAUCCUUCGGGAGGAAGACCAUUGUGACUGAGUGGCGGACGGGUGAGUAACGCGUGGGUAACCUGCCUUGUACAGGGGGAUAACAGUUGGAAACGACUGCUAAUACCGCAUAAGCGCACAGUACCGCAUGGUACGGUGUGAAAAACUCCGGUGGUACAAGAUGGACCCGCGUCUGAUUAGCUUGUUGGUGAGGUAACGGCCCACCAAGGCGACGAUCAGUAGCCGACUUGAGAGAGUGAUCGGCCACAUUGGGACUGAGACACGGCCCAAACUCCUACGGGAGGCAGCAGUAGGGAAUAUUGCACAAUGGGGGAAACCCUGAUGCAGCGACGCCGCGUGAAGGAAGAAGUAUUUCGGUAUGUAAAACUCUAUCAGCAGGAAGAUAAUGACGGUACCUGACUAAGAAGCACCGGGCUAAAAUAACGUG
rnacentral:rRNA from 1 species